rnacentral:lncRNA from 1 species
AUGUCAUAUCAGCAGCCAGUAGCCAUACAUCUCUGAACAAUUUGCUGUGAAUUAAGGCAGAAAAAUAAAACAUGUAUGUACAGUUGAUUUCUUAACAUGGGAGAGCACAGGACACAAAUGUUAAACACUGACCAAAACAACCUGUGGAAACAUACAAGUGGUUUCUUAACUACCUAUUUCUCCAAUAAACAUCUUACUCGCACAAUGAACAGAGCUAGCCUGGUCCCAGAUGUGUUUGUGCUGUAUUGCCAACUCCUAUGGUCACUAGCGUAACAAUGAGUAUAGGAAUUGGCAAGACUACAAACACAUCUGAGACCAGGCUAGAACAGAGCAGGGUCAUUGUUGGAAUAAUCCCCGGUAAAGCUUGACAUCAGUCGUAUACAGUAUAUGCAGAAACAAGUAUGAGUAUAAGGCACUUGUUAAGAACUUAUUAAAAGCUAAGUAGCAGAGAACCAUUAGUUUAUCAAAACCAAUAAGAGGUGUUCGGUACAAUGAGGGCCACUGUUGCAUACAUCACAUUAAAAUGUGUCCAUUUGAUCAACUCGUUUUAUCAGGUUUUAGUCAGUGCUAUAGUGUUACAUUAGCCUGGUUCCAGAUCAGUUUGUGCUGCUUUGGCAACUCCUCUGGUCAUUGUCACGCCAAGGAAUUGGCAAGACAUCAAAAACAGAUCUUGGUCAUUAUCCACAAAGCUUCUCAGAGUAUGGGUGCUGAUCUAGGAUCAGGUCCCCUCUGUCCAUAUAAUCAUAUUCAUUUUGCUAUAAAAGAUAAAACCGAUCUUAGAUCAGCACUUGUACUCUAAGACACUUUAUGAAUACAGGCCCUGGGACAAGUCUAGUUUUGCAUAUCUGUCAAUUGAGCCAAACCACUCCCCCUUAGGAUCUAACAAAAGUUGUUUUAGUGUUACUUAGGCCUCGAUUUAAUCCGUAGCGCUGAAGAUCUGCGCUGUAGCAUGAUUGAAAUGUAAAGGUCAUUUCCCAUUGAGCCGACAUAUGCAGCGUUUACCAUGAAGGCAAUCCCCGCGAAUGCAGGAACAUUGCUUAUAAAUUGCUAUCGCCCUGUAGCACAGGUCUUCAGCCCUAGCGAUGAAAUCGAGCCCUUAGGUUUGAAUAAGUAUUCAGAUAUGGCUACUUGGAAAAAAAAACACAUGCAAUAAGACCUCUAAUCUUUGGACCCAUUUCUUUACAGAUGAACAAGAUUAAACAUUUUGGCAAAGUAAUACAUAUUUUCAACACAAGAUAAAGGAGAAAACUAACACUGUCGGUUCAUUUGAUACUGUUACAUUAACAAUACUGCAUAAGUGUACAUACACAGUUCUCCUUCUUCCUCAGCAAUUGGAAAUAAAUGUGAAUGGUGACCGAACUUCAUACUAUCUACAGUAUUCUAAUAUUUCAAUAAGUGAUUAUAUCAGUUGACAUUUCACAUAUCGUAACAAUAAGUGAUCAUAUCAGUUGACAUUUCACAUAUCGUAACAAUAAGUGAUUAUAUCAGUUGACAUUUCACAUAUCGUAACAAUAAGUGAUUAUAUCAUUGACAUUUCACAUAUCGUAACAAUAAGUGACAUAUCAGCACUUUUGGACAGUUCAUAGGCUACUAUCUACUCUUUCUUCAGUAACAAAGCCUUGAACCAUUGGCUGUAUAACUGUGCAUAGUGUAUAAUGACAAUCGGAACAGAGCAGAAACAGUCUGCCUGUUGGUUGAUGUGAGCCGAGGGUCAAAGUUUGUUAUGAUACAGAUGCAGUAUAAAUGCUUCAGAAACAGACAUCCUUUAUAAGUUACUUUGCCCAAUAGGGCCACUGUAUAGACAUCUCAUCCACGACUCAACGCAGUCCAUACAUCAAUCAAUACACUGGAUAAAAUACAAUUAUUUACCACAGAAUCACUAAACUCUUCAAAUUUACAGUAUCAGUCAAAAGUUUGUACACACCUACUCAUUCAAGGGUUUUUCUUUAUUUUUACUAUUUUCUACUUUGUAGAAUAAUAGUGAAGACAUCAAUACUGUGAAAUAACACAUGGAAUCAUGUAGUAACCAAAAAAGUGUUAAACAAAUCAAAAUACA